rnacentral:rRNA from 1 species
AUUGAACGCUGGCGGCAUGCCUUACACAUGCAAAUCGAACGGGAACGGGCCUUCGGGUGCCGACGAGUGGCGGACGGGUGAGUAAUACAUCGGAACGUGCCCGAUCGUGGAGGAUAACGGGGCGAAAGCUUUGCUAAUAGCGCAUACGAUCUACGGAUGAAAGCAGGGGAGCGCAAGGCCUGGCGCGGACGUAGCGGCCGAUUGCAGAUUAGGUAGUUGGUGGGUUAAAAGCUUUCAAAGCCGACCACCUGCAGGUGGUCUCAGAGGGUGAUCAGCCACACCGGGACUGCGCACAGGCCCCGCCUCCCCCGGGAGGCCGCCGUGGGGAAUUUUGGCCACUGUCCCCAACCCUGAUCCAGCCCUGCCGCCUGAAGGAUGCAGGCCUUCGGGUUGUAAACUGACUUUGUACGGAACGACAAGCCUUCUUUUCCUACAGGAGCGUCAUGACGGUACCGUAAGAAUAAGCACCGGCUAACUACGUG